GCUGAUCUGCUCUGGGUAUGUCGGGGCCUAAGGCGAGGUCGAAAGACGUAGUCGAUGGAUAACAGGUUGAAAUUCCUGUACUAUCCUGUAACAGAACUGUGGGGACACAGGCAGAGAGCGUGAGCCGGGAAUGGAAAGACCGGUACAAGCGAGGUAGGAGAAGAGUUGGCAAAUCCGCUCUUUAAUCUGAAGACGUGAUGUGGACUGAAAAAUAAGUAGGGAAGCACGUGAGCUGACUGUCAAGAAAAGCCGCUAUUGUUUGCAGGAUACCCGUACCGUAAACCGACACAGGUGGAUGAGGAGAGAAUCCUAAGGCCGACGGGAGAAGCAUUGUUAAGGAACUCGGCAAAAUGACUCCGUAACUUCGGGAGAAGGAGUGCCAGUAAGAUGGCCUCAGAGAAUUGGCCCAAGCAACUGUUUAGCAAAAACACAGGUCUAUGCAAAACCGAAAGGUGAGGUAUAUGGGCUGACGCCUGCCCGGUGCUGGAAGGUUAAGGGGAGAGGUUAGCGCAAGCGAAGCUUUGAACUUAAGCCCCAGUAAACGGCGGCCGUAACUAUAACGGUCCUAAGGUAGCGAAAUUCCUUGUCGGGUAAGUUCCGACCCGCACGAAAGGCGUAAUGAUUUGGGCACUGUCUCAACAAUGCACCCGGUGAAAUUGAAAUACCAGUGAAGAUGCUGGUUACCUGCGCCAGGACGGAAAGACCCCAUGGGGCUUUACUCCAGCUUGAUACUGGGAUUCGGUAUUGCAUGUACAGGAUAGGUGGGAGGCUAGGAAAUGGUAACGCCAGUUGCCAUGGAGCCAAUGUUGGGAUACCACCCUUGCAGUACUGGGUUUCUAACCAGCAGCCGUGAUCCGGCUGGGGGACAAUGUCAGGUGGGGAGUUUGACUGGGGCGGUCGCCUCCGAAAGGGUAUCGGAGGCGCUCAAAGGUUCCCUCAGAAUGGUUGGAAACCAUUCGAAGAGUGCAAAGGCAGAGGGGAGCUUGACUGCGACACCGACGGGUGGAGCAGGUACGAAAGUAGGACUUAGUGAUCCGGUGGUAUAAAGUGGGAUUGCCAUCGCUCAACGGAUAAAAGCUACCCUGGGAUAACAGGCUUAUCACUCCCAAGAGUUCACAUCGACGGAGUGGUUUGGCACCUCGAUGUCGGCUCAUCGCAUCCUGGGGCUGAAGUAGGUCCCAAGGGUUGGGCUGUUCGCCCAUUAAAGCGGUACGCGAGCUGGGUUCAGAACGUCGUGAGACAGUUCGGUCCCUAUCCGGCGUGGGCGUAAGAUAUUUGAGAGGAGCUGUCCUUAGUACGAGAGGACCGGGAUGGACUGGCCGCUGGUGUAUCUGUUGUCUUACCAAAGGCAUAGCAGAGUAGCCAAGCCGGGAAGGGAUAAACGCUGAAGGCAUCUAAGCGUGAAGCCCCCCUCAAGAUGAGAUAUCUCAUAACGUCAAGUUAGUAAGACCCCUUGAAGACGACGAGGUAGAUAGGGCAGAGGUGGAAGUGUGGUAACACAUGGAGCUGACUGUUACUAAUAGGUCGAGGGCAUAACC
rnacentral:rRNA from 1 species